ensembl:lncRNA
AUGUGGCUGCCUUUCUGCACAGGGCAAGCACCUGUGUGCGAACGUAUGUAUGUGUGCGCGUUCUACAUACACACUGCUUCAUACUGCCGUAAAUGGGUUUGAGGUUUGCAAAAUGGUCCCAUAAAUCAUUAAUUAAUGAUAAUACAAAUAUGAAUAAUGCAAGAGGCAGAAGGGCAAGAGUCACCACUCCAUCUUCAACACCAUCUCGGAUGCUUGGAUAAGCAAUGUGCCCACAGUAGUCUCCCCUGCCAAGAGCACCAUUACAUACAGAAAUGCUGAAGAAUCACAAAAAGGUUGCAGUAUGAUCCAUGGGAGAUGGAAGGCCUUCAUCAAUAGCAGGCUAAUGCAGAUGACUUUAACCCUUUAAGUCCUUCUGUCUGUUCAGACUCCCCAGUUCCUGUUUCCUCAGAAGUGGUCCAUGGAAUUAUAAGAUACUGCUGCAUCCUGCUGUUAGAAACUGAACUGCAACUGGUAAGCAUUUCGUAAGUUCACAAAGGGAGUUUUCCAGUCUUAUCUUUAUUAACUGUGAAUUUAUCUCUCUUCCCAGAUACAAUGUUGAGAGAGGAGGUGAGCUGGAGGGGGUCAUUCCUGCUGUACAAGGAUCAAAUGCCAUAAACAGCCCAGAGUGUGACUGUGCUUCGCCUGUGCCCUUUUAAUUGCCCCCGUUAAAGCACACAUUAAACACGCAAUCCCUGUGACCAAAGGCUAAUUUCCCUAAGAGCAAUGGAGAUAAUAAAUCUCAUUGUUGGCGUUAAGGGUGACUGAAGAAUCUGCUUCAUGUGCCUGCCAAUAUGCUACCGGAGCAAUGCCACAGAGCUGAGGUUUGCUGGCUUCUUCCAGAGAGGAAGAAAAAUGAAGAGAGAAGACAUGUAAAAUCGUGCUGCAGCCUGUACUGCUGGGGCAGGUUACUUUUACCAGGGAGGAAGAGGAGGGAAAAAUAAAGAAGAAAAAAAAAAAAAAAAGAAAACAGGAAAAGAGCCACCAAUGGUUCAAGCAAUGAAUCAAG